GCUCUUUACACGGGUCACCCCCUUUGCAAGCAAAAUUACUUUCUCAUAACACCUUAAACUUAAAGAAAACCCCCACAUCCCGCAGUACCACCUUGAAACUCGCCACAACCAUUAUACCCGCAAGGGUAAACCCUUAGCACACGACAGAAAAGCUAACAUCUUAUCCCUCUUGCAUCAUGGAGAAGCAACGCAAAACUAACAAUUUUAGGCUCCCGAAUAACUAUGAGCUACUAAACCUUAAAAAUCAAUGUAUCACAAUUGACACAGUAACCUUUAGUAGGAGUAACAAGCCUUCCAUAUAGUUAUAUAGCUGGUUUUCCACCAAAAAGCAUCGAAGUGCUGCCCUAUAGAAAACUCAUCAUACCUACAAAUCUCGAUAGGCGCUAAUCUUCUGAGGAUUAGCUCGGAAGAUAAACAAAAAUAACAAACCCCAAUCACCUCAAAAGUAGGCUUAAAAGCAGCCAUCGAAUAGCGUUCUAGCUAAUAAUCCUCAACCCAAAAUAAUAUCAAAAUCUAAUUUUCCCCACAGAGGAACCUAGCACCAAACAUACCCCGCUAAUGUACCGGCAUCCUAUUAGUAUUCCCAACAUCUUUUUUCUUUAAAUAUUAAAAUAAUCGAAACUUGAUAACACACAACCACAAACCCAUAUAAAGCGAACUCGACAACAACGUUCUCUGCCUGUUUACCAAAAACAUCGUCUUCUGAACCCACACAUAGAAGAUAAUGCCUGCCCAGUGACAAUUUAAACGGCCGCGUUAGCGUGAGCGUGCUAAGGUAGCGUAAUAAAUAGCCUCUUAAUUGGAGGCCAGUGAAAGGCAAGACUAGGAACACCUGUGCCCUUUAUGUUAAAAAAACUUUUCAUCCGAGUGAAAAGACUCGGAUAAUGGGGGAAGACGAAAAGACCCCGCGGAACUUUCACCUUUUCUUACACUCCUGCCUAGAGACAUAAAAGUGUAGUAGGUUUGAUUGGGGCAAUCUCGGAACCACCUAAACUUCCGAUUUCAUUAAAAGAAAUUUAAAAUUUGGUAUAGACUACAAUAGUAGUUACCCCGGGGAUAACAGCGUCAUCCAACUUAAGAGUACACAUCGAAAGUUGGGUUUGCGACCUCGAUGUUGGCUUAAGGUUAUCCACAUUAGUGCAGCCGCUAUGAAAGGAUAGUCUGUUCGACUAUUAUACCCUUACACGAGCUGAGUUAAGACCGGCGCAAGCUAGGUUGGUUUCUAUCUCCCCCACUAACCCCCUCCUUGAUUGUACGAAAGGACCUCAAUGGGUGCACCUAAUCCAAGCACUCAAUAAAUCCCCACCCCAUAAUUAACUACCUAAAACCCCUAAAGCGGGUUAGUAUAACAAUACCACUGACUUAGGAUCAGUAAA
rnacentral:rRNA from 1 species